AUUUAAUCGGUUCUGAUGGGUGGUACUUAUGGUUAACACCAAACCAUCCUAUUGGACGCAAGGGGGAAAGUCCGGUGCAAAUCCGGCGCUGUCCCGCAACUGUGAACCAAAAUUGGGUGAGUCAGGAUGCCCGCCGAUGAGGAUAAAUUAGU
rnacentral:ncRNA from 2 species